CGGACACAGCCCGGCGCAUCGUACCCGCCUGGUGCCAUGUGAAGUGUGGACAAGUACAUCAGUGCAUCAUGCACCAGCUGUGGUGCCUGUGCAAAUUGCUGAUCUCGAUGAAGCCGACAUUCGAAACAGAGCUUCACUUCUAAAAAAACUGGAAGUUUCAUGGAGAAGCUCAACAAAG